ACUCUUAUUUGGGUUCUUUUUCUUUCUGUUCCUCUAACCAGGUUCGUGUCUUUUCCCACGUCUCUGCGCCCGGUGCCGAGACGCUUUCUCUGCCGCCGCUUCCCGCCGAGGGUGCUUCCCGCUCGGGGGAUCCGCACGAGCGGCCUCUCCUGACUCAGCGCCUCUGCCUCUCGCCGCUGCUUGAGCUACGUACGCCCCAGGGACAGCGUGGAGCCCAGCACGGCCAUCUCUCCGCCCCUAGUCAGCAGGGAGACCUCUCGGAAGAUGAGACCUUCCAUCAACAACUUACAGGCUGAAGGCCCACUGACAAGUUCUGGGAACAGGCAGAGCGACCUUCCUCUGGGGGCUCAGCGGCCUCCAUGCUGACACUUCGCGAAGGGCAACAAGCCAUUCUGGCCCGACGCCCAGGAUCCUGUAAGUCUAUUUUAACAUAAACAUUCCUUUGGAGACUUCCUUUAUGUAUCCCAAGUACAUGGCGGCUAUCAUCCCCCCAAGCAUACACGCACCGAGCUACUGUUGCGGAAAAUCCGAGGUGACCGAGAAAACCCAAAGGGCCCACGGCGAGACAGGGGAGCACAGCUUUGUUAAUAGCGGGCUCAGUGGCAUCGCUGGCAGAGACUGAGCACCGGGCUGGGAGCAAAGGGGAGCCCGGGACGGAAAGGAGCUGGAGCCGGAGUCUCUGUCCGCCUCAGUAAAUCCGAAAGGUCUCAGGACUGAGUUUUCAUGGAACAGUAGUGCAUGACCUUCUCCUCACUAGAGCUGCCCCCUCAGGGUCCUGGAAACCUUGUUCCCAAAAUAUCUGGUAGGCCUGCACUCUCCCUCACCCCUCCC